rnacentral:lncRNA from 1 species
AGGUUGUUGUCGGAGCAUCUGUGGUUGUUGUUGGAACAUCUGUGGUUGUUGUUGGAGCAGCUGGGGUUGUUGUGGGUGCAUCUGUGGUUGUUGUGGGAGAUUCUGUGGUUGUUGUCGGAGCAGCUGUGGUUGUUGUGGGAGAAGAUGUGGUUGUUGUGGGUGCAUCUGUGGUUGUUAUUGGAGCCACUGUGGUUGUUGUUGGAGCCAAUAUUGUUGUUGUGGAUGCAGAUGUGGUUGUUGUUGGAGCCAAUGUGGUGGAUGUGGGAGCAUCUUCGGUUGUUGUGGGAGCAGCUGUGGUUGUUGUGGGUGCAUCUGUGGUUGUUGUUGGAGCAGCUGUGGUUGUUGUGGGAGCAGCUGUGGUUGUUGUGGGUGCAUCUGUGGUUUAUUUGGGAGAUUCUGUGGUUGUUGUCGGAGCAGCUGUGGUUGUUGUGGGAGAAGCUGUGGUUGUUGUUGGAACAUCUGUGGUUGUUGUGGGAGCAGCUGUGGUUGUUGUGGGUGCAGCUGUGGUUGUUGUCGGUGCAUCUGUGGUUGUUGUCGGUGCAUCUGUGGUUGUUGUGGGUGCAUCUGUGGUUGUUGUGGGAGAUUCUGUGGUUGUUGUCGGAGCAGCUGUGGUUGUUGUGGGAGAAGCUGUGUUUGUUGUGGGAGAAGGAGUGGUUGUUGUUGGGGCCACUGUAGUUGUUGUGGUUGCAGAUGUGGUUGUUGUUGGAGCCACUGUGGUUGUUGAUGGAACGUCUGAGGUUGUUGUCGGAGCAUCUGUGAUUGUUGUUGGCACAUCUGUGGUUGUUGUUGGAGCAGCUGGGGUUGUUGUGGGUGCAUCUGUGGUUGUUGUGGGAGAUUCUGUGGUUGUUGUCGUAGCAGCUGUGGUUGUUGUGGGAGAAGCUGUGGUUGUUGUGGGUGCAUCUGUGGUUGUUAUUGGAGCCACUGUGGUUGUUGUUGGAGCCAAUAUUGUUGUUGUGGCUGCAGAUGUGGUUGAUGUUGGAGCCAAUGUGGUGGAUGUGGGAGCAUCUUCGGUUGUUGUGGGAGCAGCUGUGGUUGUUGUGGGUGCAUCUGUGGUUGUUGUUGGAGCAGCUGUGGUUGUUGUGGGAGCAGCUGGAGUUGUUGUGGGUGCAUCUGUGGUUGUUGUGGGAGAUUCUGUGGUUGUUGUCGGAGCAGCUGUGGUUGUUGUGGGAGAAGCUGUGGUUGUUGUUGGAACAUCUGUGGUUGUUGUGGGAUCAGCUGUGGUUGUUGUGGGUGCAGCUGUGGUUGUUGUGGGUGCAUCUGUGGUUGUUGUGGGUGCAUCUGUGGUUGUUGUGGGAGAUUCUGUGGUUGUUGUCGGAGCAGCUGUGGUUGUUGUGGGAGAAGCUGUGUUUGUUGUUGGAGAAGCAGUGGUUGUUGUUGGAGCCACUGUAGUUGUUGUGGUUGCAGAUGUGGUUGUUGUUGGAGCCACUGUGGUUGUUGAUGGAACGUCUGAGGUUGUUGUCGGAGCAUCUGUGGUUGUUGUUGGAACAUCUGUGGUUGUUGUUGGAGCAGCUGGGGUUGUUGUUGGUGCAUCUGUGGUUGUUGUGGGAGAUUCUGUGGUUGUUGUCGGAGCAGCUGUGGUUGUUGUGGGAGAAGAUGUGGUUGUUGUGGGUGGAUCUGUGGUUGUUAUUGGAGCCACUGUGGUUGUUGUUGGAGCCAAUAUUUUUGUUGUGGAUGCAGAUGUGGUUGUUGUUGGAGCCAAUGUGGUGGAUGUGGGAGCAUCUUCGGUUGUUGUGGGAGCAGCUGUGGUUGUUGUGGGUGCAUCUGUGGUUGUUGUUGGAGCAGCUGUGGUUGUUGUGGGAGCAGCUGUGGUUGUUGUGGGUGCAUCUGUGGUUGUUGUGGGAGAUUCUGUGGUUGUUGUCGGAGCAGCUGUGGUUGUGGUGGGAGAAGCUGUGGUUGUUGUCGGAACAUCUGUGGUUGUUGUGGGAGCAGCUGUGGUUGUUGUGGGUGCAUCUGUGGUUGUUGUUGGAGCCACUGUGGUUGUUGUGGGAGCCAAUGUUGUUGUUGUGGCUGCAGAUGUGGAUGUUGUUGGAGCCACUGUGUUGGUUGUGGGAGCAUCUUCGGUUGUUGUGGGAGCAGCUGUGGUUGUUGUGGGUGGAUCUGUGGUUGUUGUUGGAGCAGCUGUGGUUGUUGUGGGAGAAGCUGUGGUUGUUGUGGGAGCAACCGUGGUUGUUGUGGAAGCAUCUGUGGUUGUUGUGGGUGCAGAUGUGGUUGUUGUUUGAUCAUCUGUGGUUGUUGUUGGAGCAGCUGUGGUUGUUGUUGGAACAUCUGUGGUUGUUGUGAGAGCAGCUGUGGUUGUUGUGGGUGCAUCUGUGGUUGUUGUGGGAGAUUCUGUGGUUGUUGUCGGAGCAGCUGUGGUUGUUGUGGGAGAAGCUGUGUUUGUUGUGGGAGAAGCAGUGGUUGUUGUUGGAGCCAAUGUAGUUGUUGUGGUUGCAGAUGUGGUUGUUGUUGAUGGAACGUCUGAGGAUGUUGUCGGAGCAGCUGUGGUUGUUGUUGGAACAUCUGUGGUUGUUGUUGGAGCAGCUGUGGUUGUUGUUGGAACAUCUGUGGUUGUUGUGGGAGCAGCUGUGGUUGUUGUGGGUGCAUCUGUGGUUGUUGUGGGAGAUUCUGUGGUUGUUGUCGGAGCAGCUGUGGUUGUUGUGGGAGAAGCUGUGGUUGUUGUUGGAACAUCUGUGGUUGUUGUGGGAUCAGCUGUGGUUGUUGUGGGUGCAUCUGUGGUUGUUGUUGGAGCCACUGUGGUUGUUGUUUGAGCCAAUGUUGUUGUUGUGGCUGCAGAUGUGGAUGUUGUUGGAGCCACUGUGGUGGAUGUGGGAGCAUCUUCGUUUGUUGUGGGAGGAGCUGUGGUUGUUGUGGGUGGAUCUGCUGUUGUUGUUGGAGCAGCUGUGGUUCUUGAGGGAGAAGCUGUGGUUGUUGUGGGAGCAACCGUGGUUGUUGUGGGAGCAGCUGUGGUUGUUGUGGAUGCAAUUGUGGUUGUUGUUGGAGCAGCUGUGGUUGUUGUUGGAGCAGCUGUGGUUGUUGUUGGAGCCACUGUGGUGGAUGUGGGAGCAUCUUCGGUUGUUGUGGGAGCAGCUGUGGUUGUUGUGGGUGCAUCUGUGGUUGUUGUUGGAGCAGCUGUGGUUGUUGUGGGAGCAGCUGAAGUUGUUGUGGGUGCAUCUGUGGUUGUUGUGGGAGCCACUGUGGUUGUUGUUGGAGCCAAUGUUGUUGUUGUGGCUGCAGAUGUGGUUGUUGUUGGAGCCACUGUGGUGGAUGUGGGAGCAUCUUCAGUUGUUGUGGGAGCAGCUGUGGUUGUUGUGGGUGGAUCUGUGGUUGUUGUUGGAGCAGCUGUGGUUGUUGUGGGAGAAGCUGUGGUUGUUGUGGGAGCAGCCGUGGUUGUUGUUGGAGCAGCUGUGGUUGUUGUUGGAACAUCUGUGGUUGUUGUGGGAGAAGCUGUGUUUGUUGUGGGAGAAGAAGUGGUUGUUGUUGGAGCCACUGUAGUUGUUGUUGUUGCAGAUAUGGUUGUUGUUGGAGCCACUGUGGUUGUUGAUGGAACGUCUGAGGUUGUUGUCGGAGCAGCUGUGGUUGUUGUUGGAACAUCUGUGGUUGUUGUUGUAGCAGCUGGGGUUGUUGUGGGUGCAUCUGUGGUUGUUGUGUGAGAUUCUGUGGUUGUUGUCGGAGCAGCUUUGGUUGUUGUGGGAGAAGCUGUGGUUGUUGUUGGAACAUCUGUGGUUGUUGUGGGAGCAGCUGUGGUUGUUGUGGGUGCAUCUGUGGUUGUUGUUGGAGCCACUGUGGUGGUUGUGGGAGCAUCUUCGGUUGUUGUGGGAGCAGCUGUGGUUGUUGUGGGUGGAUCUGUGGUUGUUGUUGGAGCAGCUGUGGUGGUUGUGGGAGAAGCUGUGGUUGUUGUGGGAGCAACCGUGGUUGUUGUGGAAGCAUCUGUGGUUGUUGUGGGUGCAGAUGUGGUUGUUGUUGGAUCAUCUGGGGUUGUUGUUGGAGCAGCUGUGGUUAUUGUUGGAACAUCUGUGGUUGUUGUGAGAGCAGCUGUGUUUGUUGUGGGUGCAUCUGUGGUCGUUGUGGGAGAUUCUGUGGUUGUUGUCGGAGCAGCUGUGGUUGUUGUGGGAGAAGCUGUGUUUGUUGUGGGAGAAGCAGUGGUUGUUGUUGGAGCCACUGUAGUUGUUGUGGUUGCAGAUGUGGUUGUUGUUGAUGGAACGUCUGAGGAUGUUGUCGGAGCAGCUGUGGUUGUUGUUGGAACAGCUGUGGUUGUUGUUGGAGCAGCUGUGGUUGUUGUUGGAACAUCUGUGGUUGUUGUGGGAGCAGCUGUGGUUGUUGUGGGUGCAUCUGUGGUUGUUGUGGAAGAAUCUGUGGUUGUUGUCGGAGUAGCUGUGGUUGUUGUGGGAGAAGCUGUGGUUGUUGUUGGAACAUCUGUGGUUGUUGUGGGAUCAGCUGUGGUUGUUGUGGGUGCAUCUCUGGUUGUUUUUGGAGCCACUGUGGUUGUUGUUGGAGCCAAUGUUGUUGUUGUGGCUGCAGAUGUGGAUGUUGUUGGAGCCACUGUGGUGGAUGUGGGAGCAUCUUCGGUUGUUGUGAGAGGAGCUGUGGUUGUUGUGGGUGGAUCUGUUGUUGUUGUUGGAGCAGCUGUGGUUCUUGUGGGAGAAGCUGUGGUUGUUGUGGGAGCAACCGUGGUUGUUGUGGGAGCAGCUGUGGUUGUUGUGGGUGCAAUUGUGGUUGUUGUUGGAGCAGCUGUGGUUGUUGUGGGAGCAGCUGUGGUUGUUGUGUGUGCAAUUGUGGUUGUUGUUGGAGCAGCUGUGGUUGUUGUGGUUGCAGAUGUGGUUGUUGUUGGAGCCACUGUGGUUAUUGAUGGAACGUCUAAGGUUGUUGUCGGAGCAGCUGUGGUUGUUGUUGGAACAUCUGUGGUUGUUGUUGGAGCAGCUGUGGUUGUUGUUGGAACAUCUGUGGUUGUUGUGGGAACAGCUGUGGUUGUUGUGGGUGCAUCUGUGUUUGUUGUGGGAGAUUCUGUGGUUGUUGUCGGAGCAGCUGUGGUUGUUGUGGGAGAAGCUGUGUUUGUUGUGGGAGAAGCAGUGGUUGUUGUUGGAGCCACUGUGGUUGUUGUGGGUGGAGAUGUGGUUGUUGUUGGAACAGCUGUGGUUGUUGUGGGUGAAGAUGUGGUUGUUGUUGGAACAGCUGUGGUUGUUGUGGGAGAAGCAGUAAUUGUUGGGAGAGCAGCUGUGGUUGUUAUGGUAGCAGCUGUGGUUGUUCUGGGAGAAGCUGUGGUUGUUGUUGGAGAAGCUGUGGUUGUUGUUAGAACAUCUGGGGUUGUUGUCAGAGAAUCUGUGGUUGUUGUGGGAACAGCUGUGGUUGUUGUGGAAGCAACUGUGAUUGUUGUAUCCACAGCUGAAGUUGGAGUUGAGGCUGCUGGGGGUUGUGUUGGUGCAAUGACCUCUGUAAUUAUGAAAUGGAUGUUAGGUAUUUUAUUCUUAUUGGUCCAAUGGUGUUCUAUAGGAUUUCAUUAUACCUGAAACGUUGUAACUGUACAGUGGCUAAAAAUUGUGUACAACUCUAAACAAAUUGACAAAAAAUCCAGUCAACAAAGUUACAGACGUUUCAUCAAGUGUUGAGGACGUAGGGUUACUCAGUUUUGCUUCUUGUUGUUAAGCUUAAGAUAAGAAGGUAUUGGGUUUUCUCUUCAGAAGUAAACAUUUUUACAACCACAUUUGUUAGAUUGUUUUCUAUGUCAAAUAGCAAAAAUAAAAGACUGAUAAUCAACUCCAGGCUGCGUAGUUAAAUGGAAAUGACCGACUUCACCUGUUUGGUAUCAUAUCACACCC